GAUGAACGCUGGCGGCGUGCCUAAUACAUGCAAGUCGAGCGAACAGACGAGGAGCUUGCUCCUCUGACGUUAGCGGCGGACGGGUGAGUAACACGUGGAUAACCUACCUAUAAGACUGGGAUAACUUCGGGAAACCGGAGCUAAUACCGGAUAAUAUAUUGAACCGCAUGGUUCAAUAGUGAAAGACGGUUUUGCUGUCACUUAUAGAUGGAUCCGCGCCGCAUUAGCUAGUUGGUAAGGUAACGGCUUACCAAGGCAACGAUGCGUAGCCGACCUGAGAGGGGGAUAGGCCACACUGGAACGGAGACCCGCACCAGACGCCGACGGGAGGCAGCAGUAGGGAAUAUUCGGCAAUGGGCGAAAGCAGGACGGAGUAAGGACGAGUGAGUGAUGAAAGUUUUCGGAUCGUAAAAAUCUGUUAUUAGGGAAGAACAAAUGUGUAAGUAACUAUGCACGUCGUGACGGUACGGAAGCAGAAAGCCAAGGCGAACUACGUG
rnacentral:rRNA from 1 species